CUGGACACACACACACACACACACACACACACACACUGAACACACACUGAACACACACUGAACACACACAAACUGGACACAAAAUGGACACACACUGAACACACACAAACUGGACACAAAAUGGACACACACACUCAACACACACACCGGACACACACACACACACACACACACUGGACACAAAAUAGACACACACACUCUCAACACACACACUGAACAAACACACACAAACACAUUCUGGACACACGCACACUGGACACACAAACACACACACACACACACACACACUGGACAAAAACAUACACACACACACACACACACACACACUGGACACACACACUUACACACACACACACACACUGGACAAACGAAAACACACACACACUCACACACUGGACAAACACACACACACACACACACACUGGACAAACACACACACACACACACACACUGGACAAACACACACACACACACACACACACUGGACAAACACACACACACACACACACACUGGACAAACACACACACACACACACACUGGACAAACACACACACACACACACACUGGACAAACACACACACACUGGACAAACACACACACACACACACUGGACAAACACACACACA
rnacentral:lncRNA from 1 species